GCCCGAGUGGUGGAAUUGGUAGACACAACGGAUUUAAAAUCCGUCGGCCGCAUGGCCUUGCCGGUUCAAGUCCGGCCUCGGGUA
rnacentral:tRNA from 1 species